GGGCCGUUAGCUCAGUCGGUAGAGCAGCUGGCUUUUAACCAGUUGGUCGAUGGUUCAAGUCCAUCACGGCCCACCA
rnacentral:tRNA from 1 species